rnacentral:rRNA from 1 species
AGUGAACGCUGGCGGUAGGCCUAACACAUGCAAGUCGAACGGCAGCACAGUAAGAGCUUGCUCUUACGGGUGGCGAGUGGCGGACGGGUGAGGAAUACAUCGGAAUCUACUUUUUCGUGGGGGAUAACGUAGGGAAACUUACGCUAAUACCGCAUACGACCUACGGGUGAAAGCAGGGGAUCUUCGGACCUUGCGCGAUUGAAUGAGCCGAUGUCGGAUUAGCUAGUUGGCGGGGUAAAGGCCCACCAAGGCGACGAUACGUAGCUGGUCUGAGAGGAUGAUCAGCCACACGGGAACUGAGACACGGUCCAGACUCCUACGGGAGGCAGCAGUGGGGAAUAUUGGACAAUGGGCGCAAGCCUGAUCCAGCCAUACCGCGUGGGUGAAGAAGGCCUUCGGGUUGUAAAGCCCUUUUGUUGGGAAAGAAAAGCAGCAGGUUAAUACCCCGCUGUUCUGACGGUACCCAAAGAAUAAGCACCGGCUAACUUCGUG